rnacentral:rRNA from 1 species
UACGGAGGAUCCAAGCGUUAUCCGGAUUUAUUGGGUUUAAAGGGUGCGUAGGCGGCUUAUUAAGUCAGGGGUGAAAGACGGUGGCUCAACCAUCGCAGUGCCCUUGAUACUGAUGAGCUUGAAUACACUUGAGGUAGGCGGAAUGUGACAAGUAGCGGUGAAAUGCAUAGAUAUGUCACAGAACACCAAUUGCGAAGGCAGCCGGCUAAACUGUAACUGACGCUGAGGCACGAAAGCGUGGGGAGCGAACAGG